AUUGAACGCUGGCGGCAUGCCUAACACAUGCAAGUCGAGCGGAUGAAGGGAGCUUGCUCCUGGAUUCAGCGGCGGACGGGUGAGUAAUGCCUAGGAAUCUGCCUGGUAGUGGGGGAUAACGUCCGGAAACGGGCGCUAAUACCGCAUACGUCCUGAGGGAGAAAGUGGGGGAUCUUCGGACCUCACGCUAUCAGAUGAGCCUAGGUCGGAUUAGCUAGUUGGUGGGGUAAAGGCCUACCAAGGCGACGAUCCGUAACUGGUCUGAGAGGAUGAUCAGUCACACUGGAACUGAGACACGGUCCAGACUCCUACGGGAGGCAGCAGUGGGGAAUAUUGGACAAUGGGCGAAAGGCUGAUCCAGCCAUGCCGCGUGUGUGAAGAAGGUCUUCGGAUUGUAAAGCACUUUAAGUUGGGAGGAAGGGCAGUAAGUUAAUACCUGGCUGUUUUGACGGUACCAACAGAAUAAGCACCGGCUAACUUCGUG
rnacentral:rRNA from 1 species